GGGAAUGUAGUUAAAAAUAACAUUUAAUUUGCAAUUAAAAAGUACCACCAUGGUCUUUCUCA
rnacentral:tRNA from 1 species